UACGUAGGUGGCAAGCGUUGUCCGGAUUUACUGGGCGUAAAGGGCGUGUAGGCGGUUAUUUAAGUUUGGUGUGAAAUCUCCCGGCUCAACCGGGAGGGUGCGCCGAAUACUGAAUGACUUGGAGUGCGGGAGAGGAAAGUGGAAUUCCUGGUGUAGCGGUGAAAUGCGUAGAUAUCAGGAGGAACACCGGUGGUGUAGACGGCUUUCUGGACCGUAACUGACGCUGAGACACGAAAGCGUGGGUAGCAAACAGG
rnacentral:rRNA from 1 species